rnacentral:piRNA from 1 species
UAACCACCAGAUUGGUCAUAGCAUUGCUUC